GCCUAGUUAGCUGGGUUGGUAGCGCGUCUGCCUUGUAAGCGCUAGGCUGCGGGUUUGAUUCCCGCUCGGGGCA
rnacentral:tRNA from 1 species